GACGAACGCUGGCGGCGUGCUUAACACAUGCAAGUCGAGCGGUAAGGCCCUUUCGGGGGUACACGAGCGGCGAACGGGUGAGUAACACGUGGGUGACCUGCCCUCAGCUCUGGGAUAAGCCUGGGAAACUGGGUCUAAUACUGGAUAUGACUCCACGGUGCAUGUCGUGGGGUGGAAAGCCUUGUGCGGCUGAGGAUGGGCCCGCGGCCUAGCAGCUUGUUGGUGGGGUGAUGGCCUACCAAGGCGACGACGGGUAGCCGGCCUGAGAGGGCGACCGGCCACACUGGGACUGAGACACGGCCCAGACUCCUACGGGAGGCAGCAGUGGGGAAUCUUGCGCAAUGGGCGAAAGCCUGACGCAGCGACGCCGCGUGAGGGAUGACGGCCU
rnacentral:rRNA from 1 species